rnacentral:rRNA from 1 species
CAUGCAAGUCGAACGGAAAGGCCCUUCGGGGUGCUCGAGUGGCGAACGGGUGAGUAACACGUGGGUGAUCUGCCCUGCACUUUGGGAUAAGCCUGGGAAACUGGGUCUAAUACCGAAUAUGACUGCAUUCUUCAUGGGGUGUGGUGGAAAGCUUUUGCGGUGUGGGAUGGGCCCGCGGCCUAUCAGCUUGUUGGUGGGGUAAUGGCCUACCAAGGCGACGACGGGUAGCCGGCCUGAGAGGGUGACCGGCCACACUGGGACUGAGAUACGGCCCAGACUCCUACGGGAGGCAGCAGUGGGGAAUAUUGCACAAUGGGCGCAAGCCUGAUGCAGCGACGCCGCGUGAGGGAUGACGGCCUUCGGGUUGUAAACCUCUUUCAGCACAGACGAAGCGUGAGUGACGGUAUGUGCAGAAGAAGGACCGGCCAACUACGUGCCAGCAGCCGCGGUAAUACGUAGGGUCCGAGCGUUGUCCGGAAUUACUGGGCGUAAAGAGCUCGUAGGUGGUUUGUCGCGUUGUUCGUGAAAACUCACAGCUUAACUGUGGGCGUGCGGGCGAUACGGGCAGACUUGAGUACUGCAGGGGAGACUGGAAUUCCUGGUGUAGCGGUGGAAUGCGCAGAUAUCAGGAGGAACACCGGUGGCGAAGGCGGGUCUCUGGGCAGUAACUGACGCUGAGGAGCGAAAGCGUGGGGAGCGAACAGGAUUAGAUACCCUGGUAGUCCACGCCG